rnacentral:sRNA from 1 species
AAUAAAUAGAGAUUCAACCUGUAUUAUAUCAAUCCAAACCCGUCCCGCUAUAUAACUCGUCUUAUGUU